UCGAGUCGACUCCAGAUCAGUACGAGUCGACUCCGACUGAGAACAGACAGAAGGACAGAAAGCUUCAUCUCAGAACCUGUCAACGAGUCGACUCCUGAAGUGCGCGAGUCGACUCCAAUGUUCACCGAGUCGACUCCAGGAAAGUAAGAGUCGACUCCAAGCAGUCAUAGGCAGAAAAGUCAGAGAACGAUUUUCGGACU
rnacentral:lncRNA from 1 species